UUCAAAGAGUUUGUGAAAAAUGCUACAGUAGUUUGCUAUUUUUCUUAAGUUGUUUAUAAACAUGUAGCUCUCAUUUAAGGCCCUGUUGUCCCUCCUCCAUGUUACUUUCCAUAGUCUUAUAUUUCCUAUUUUGUGUUAAUUUCUAAGCAUUGUUUGACAAGUUUGCAUAAAUGACCAAAAUGUUAUUUUUUAUGUAGUCCAUAUGAAGCUAGUUUUAAGGAUGAUAUCUUUCUUAUGAAACAUCUUGUAGCUCUUCAAUUCAUUGGACUCUAAUUCAUAGUUGUAAGUUUAAAAUCCUUGAGGUAGAAGAAGCUCAGGUUUUAAGGGCCCUUGCCUUCUUUCCCAAAAUCUCAGUUUUCAUUUUCACACCCUUCUUUGCCUUUCACUGAUGAAACCACCUUUUUUUUUAUAUUAUUUUUUUUACUUUUCACUUGCAAUUAAUACAGGGAAAUAUUCUUUAUCGAUUUCCAUCACUACAACGUACAGCUUCUCCUCAGAGGAGUGGAAGGAAGGAAUAUCUUUUCAGGUAUCAAACUCUGAAUUUAUUGUUCUACAUUUCAAUUUUUCACAUAUUACCAUAUGUAUAUUUAUAUGUUCUUCAUGUUGAUCAUGUUGAAUUUUUUUGUAAGCUUGUCUUAAAACCUUACAGACUAGUAGAUUUUCAAAUCAUAUUUGAAUUUAUGGGGUUGGUGAAAUCAGAUCUUCGGGCAUUUAACCAUUUUACUGUUGCGGUAUUGUUGUCCAUUGCGAGAGUCCGGAAGUUUAGUGAGUGUUCAAUCGGAAUUUUGAAGACAACAAUAACUACAUCAUACCGUGAUUACAGUUUUUCCAAGGUUUGUAAUUGGCUACCGGAUGACUUGAAGCAAGAAUAUGUGCAUAGUGUGAAAGUAGUGGAGAAGGCGGUGUUGAGAGCUGUAAUUUUUCCUUGUUUUUCCAUUCUGUUCAUUUGAAAUCAUCUGUGCCAUGGCAGACAUGAAGAUGUGAAUAAGAUAUAUGUUCUUAUUGCUAAACUUUAGUGAGAUGAUGCUAGUGAUGUCCUUUCUUCUGUUAGCUUUAUAUUAUUGCUUAGUUAGUUUUUCUUAUACAAUGUAUGACAGCAAAAA